GACGAACGCUGGCGGCGUGCUUAACACAUGCAAGUCGAACGGUAAGGCCUUUCGGGGUACACGAGUGGCGAACGGGUGAGUAACACGCGGGUGAUCUGCCCUGCACUUCGGGAUAAGCCCGGGAAACUGGGUCUAAUACCGGAUAGGACUGCGCGGUGCAUGCCGUGUGGUGGAAAGAUUUAUCGGUGCAGGAUGGGCCCGCGGCCUAUCAGCUUGUUGGUGGGGUAAUGGCCUACCAAGGCGACGACGGGUAGCCGGCCUGAGAGGGCGACCGGCCACACUGGGACUGAGACACGGCCCAGACUCCUACGGGAGGCAGCAGUGGGGAAUAUUGCACAAUGGGCGCAAGCCUGAUACAGCGACGCCGCGUGAGGGAUGACGGCCUUCGGGUUGUAAACCUCUUUCAGCAGGGACGAAGCGUGAGUGACGGUACCUGCAGAAGAAGCACCGGCCAACUACGUG
rnacentral:rRNA from 1 species